rnacentral:rRNA from 1 species
GAUGAACGCUGGCGGCGUGCCUAAUACAUGCAAGUCGAGCGAAUGGAUUAAGAGCUUGCUCUUAUGAAGUUAGCGGCGGACGGGUGAGUAACACGUGGGUAACCUGCCCAUAAGACUGGGAUAACUCCGGGAAACCGGGGCUAAUACCGGAUAACAUUUUGAACCGCAUGGUUCGAAAUUGAAAGGCGGCUUCGGCUGUCACUUAUGGGUGGACCCGCGUCGCAUUAGCUAGUGGGGGAGGUAACGGCUCACCAAGGCAACGAUGCGUAGCCGACCUGAGAGGGUGAUCGGCCACACUGGGACUGAGACACGGCCCAGACUACUACGGGAGGCAGCAGUAGGGAAUCUUCCGCAAUGGACGAAAGUCUGACGGAGCAACGCCGCGUGAGUGAUGAAGGCUUUCGGGUCGUAAAACUCUGUUGUUAGGGAAGAACAAGUGCUAGUUGAAUAAGCUGGCACCUUGACGGUACCUAAGGAGGAAGCCACGGCAAACUACGUGCCAGCAGCCGCAGUAA